CUACAGUUCCCAUGCCCAGCUCUGUGCAUGUGACCCAGGACUAGCCAAUCAGAGUAUUCAAGCCUCCUGCCUAUCCUGAUUGGUUCAGGGGUAGUCCCUACCCAGCCUGUGAUUGGUUAAGGCGUGGGCCAUGACCCAGGUCUGGCAAAUCAGAAUAUUUAAUCCAUUGGCCACAGUCACUGUUUUGGAGAUAGAGGCAUAGUUCGAUGGUGGUUCAAAGAGAUUUAAUCCCAGAGUGCUCUGUGGGAAUAAUUAGGAAAGAGAUACACUCUUUCCAUGGAGGUUAUUGGAGCCAGAUAUGUGCAAGGAGUUUGACUACCCUGAGACCACCAUGCUGGGGAGGCCACAUGCAAAUGCUGGGAUUGCUCAGAUCCGUAGUCCAGCUGAGCUUCAACUGUAAGUCACGUAGAUGAGCAUUUUGGGAGGUUCAGCCCCCUCAAGCCCUCAGAUGUGUGCAGCCCCAGCAGACAGUUGAUUGUAACCUCACAAAAGACCCCCAGUGAGAAGAACCUCCCAGCCAAGCCCUUUCCAAAUUCACAAAGUUGUAAGCAAAAUAAAGUUGCUAUUUUAAGCUGAUGGGUUUUGGGUGCAGUGUGUUGUGUAAUAGUGGUAACUGGAAUGGGACCAAAGCUUCAUGAGAACCUUUUGCAAAUCUUCAGAUAGAAUAUAUACAAGGGGGAAGGGCUCCAGGAACAGACAAUACUGACAUCUCCAGGUGUGCCUAACUUGGAAGGGCUGAGUGGGCCCUUCAGCCCUGAAGAGCAUGGAGAGGAGGAAGCUUUCGUUUCAUGCAUCCUGAGUUGUCAGCCUUCCUAGGAUUGCAUUCAGGGCAUCUCCCCAGAGGGGCCUUAAGGCUUCACAAAUCUCUUGGCUCACUGGCACACUCAGCACACUAGGGAUAGUCUAGGGGUACAAGGGAAAGCCUGUCUGUUUGCCUUACCUACGAGGCCUCAUCAGGCGGUACAUCCCUGGUGAGGCAGUAUUGACCCAUCGUUAGAUGACUGACUCUGGCUUCAGCCAGACCAGGUUCAAAUUCCAGCUCUGCUCACACACCUGUGAGCCCAUGGUUGAGUAAUUUUUUACCUUUGUGCUUUGCUUUCCUCAUCUAUAAAGUGGAACUCAUAGGUGUGCCUACCAAGUAUAUGGAUGGCUAGGUGGAGAAUUAAAUUAGAUUAUAAAUAGCAAGAGCUCAGAACAUAUAAU
rnacentral:lncRNA from 1 species